CAGUAGCCGCGGGAAUACGGAGGGAGCUAGCGUUGUUCGGAAUUACUGGGCGUAAAGCGCACGUAGGCGGUUAUUCAAGUCAGAGGUGAAAGCCCGGGGCUCAACCCCGGAACUGCCUUUGAAACUAGAUGACUGGAAUCUUGGAGAGGUCAGUGGAAUUCCGAGUGUAGAGGUGAAAUUCGUAGAUAUUCGGAAGAACACCAGUGGCGAAGGCGACUGACUGGACAAGUAUUGACGCUGAGGUGCGAAAGCGUGGGGAGCAAACAGGAUUAGAUACCCGCGUAGUCCCUGUCUCUUAUAC
rnacentral:rRNA from 1 species